UUUAAAAGCAAAGCUGCUUUCAUUUCAGCAGUAUCUGUUUCUUAUUUCCUAUUGGUAGAACCAGCAAUGAUUUUUUUUUUGUGCUUACACAGAAACGAAAAUGGUGGCUACGAUGUGUUUGUUUUUGUUACGUGUUGCAUUGAAUUAUUCUCAAGGAAGUGUUCCCGCAGAUACCAAUUACUUUUUCUGCGGUGUAGGGCUAGGUAGAUAAUGUAAAGCUUUUGCUAAUCUCUGGACAAGACCUCUCGGUACUUAAAGAAUGUGGACGCUGGACGAUGAGAGAAAAAAAAACUCAGUGUAGGCCUAUAUGUGGUGAAAGUGAAAGGUGUUAUUUGGGCUAUUUGUUUGUGCGUUGGUAAUAAAUAAUCGUGAAAUGUGGACGUACACAUUGCAGGAGUGCUUCGGCUCAGAAUAAGGGAGAUGAACACGAGUUCCUAAACUGAGGGUGGACAGUUUGCUGAUUGUGCUAUGUUAAAUAAAAAUUGAGUGCUUACAUUGUUAAA